UCUUGUUGAAGAUCCCUCCUUGGUGGAAGCUUUUCCCUGCAAACCCAGAAUCUUCUGAUACAGGCUAUUUUCCAGUGUUAUGAAGUUUUCAUAGAAGAUAAAAAAAAUUUGAGAAUAAUUGUUCUCAAAAAACUGCUUCAGGUCACUUCCGUCCACAAUAUCUACCAAGAAGAACAAAUGGAGUUAUUACUUCAUGCAAAUCGGAGAAUGACAUAAGAGCACUACAAAACUAAAAAGUGAUUUCAUUGAGUAUUCUAUAAGAAAUUGUGAUUCUUUCAUUGGAAGUGAAAUAGAAAAACUUGUUUUUAACCUAGUUUUUCUAAGUCUGCAUGUUGUGUAGGUUUGUUUGUUUUCCAUUUUAAAAAAAAGACAGGAUGCAUCCACAUACCACUUCCAUAACAAUUCUUCAUCCAUCAGAGACAUUUUUUGCUAACAAAUAUGAAGGCUGUCUGUUAUCAAAAUAAUUCACCGCUUCUCCAAAUAGGGGAUUAUAUUAAGUAUGUACCAAAUUCAAUUCUUUUUGAUAAUCAGAACUGUAUGUUGCUAGAAAUUCUUCCACGUGCCCCAAAGCAUGAAGUAACAGGACUGAGCCUGAAUACAGCAAAUGUACUAAAUGGUUUGUCCAUCAUUAACAUGGACUAGCUUUCAGCCCGGCUGAUAGCAAACUGCACUACUCGUUCACUUACAAACAAUUUUUUAAUUACUUUGCAAAUUACACUACACAGCAGCCAUCCUGUGGCUGUCUGUAAAGAUUCCAGACAACAUUAAGAAUCUUUAAUGAAUUCAAAACAAUUCAUUAAAAAAAGUAAUAAUUACUUAAAACCUUCACCCAAGGGUAAAAUCAGCCUUUUACAUUGAGUAGAGGAAGUCUGCACAGGAAGUUUCAAUAAAAGGGCAAGACCAAGUGAAGGCUAAAACAGCACUAAAAGACUAAAGAUACGUUCACUGCAAUUGCCUGAAUACCAAAUAACAAUGGUACAUUAAAAAGAAAGGUCAAAUUAAAACAUUUUCAUUUACAGUGAAACAACUGCACAUUUCUCAAUUAUUUAUAAUUAUUUAUAAUUUUCAAGCUUAAUUACAGAAAAGAGGGUUAAGUGUUUGUAAAAAAAAAAAAGUAUACUGUGUUGCUGCUUAACAGAAGAAAGCUUAUUUUUACCUUCACUACAAAUUUAAUCCAGUAAUCUGAUUCUCUCAAGAGUUAAACUUGAAUCAUGCAGUCAGUUGUUUCAAUAAAUAAAAAUCGGAGUGCCAAGCAGUCCAACUAAGUAGAUUUAAAUUACUGUUGCCGGUAAGGUCCAAUAAAUUAGUUCAUUAGAGAAAAAGUUUAGUAAUUCAAAAAGAUGUACGAUGAAGGGGCUAGAGACAUUUCUUGUCCCAUUUUUCAAGAUCUCAAAACUCGAUGGUCACAAAUACACAGCCUGAGGCUGAUGUGGAGGAGGAGGAGGAUGAAUAUGCUGCUGAAGCUCUGCUGUGGCAUCAGUGAAUACUGCUCUCCAAAGACCUUCAUUAGCACUGCUAAAUCAGAAAUCAGAUUUUGUAUGGAUUUUAAUAUCCAUUUGGAAAUAGUUCAGAAUAGCACACAACUCCAGAAAUAAGUUGAUAUACUUCUGUAAAUUAAAUACUGACAAAUUAAAAGAUACAAAGGGAAGGUGAGCGUGGCACCAGCCCUGGUGCGAGCCAGGACACCACCUGCACACAGUCCUACCUGGGGAGGAUAGGAAGCAGGGUGAAAGCUGUAGUUUUGAUUAAAAGCUGAGUCACUGAACUAUUUAUUAAACAAAUAAGCCUCCCCAGGCCCAACUGAAGCAGUCAAGAGAAUAGCUGUAGGGAAGUACUUUGAACACAGAGCACAGCUAAUGUUAGAAGCAGAGGUCACAGAUCACUGGGCUAACAGACUGACUGCUCCUACUGCAUUUCUUCUCCUCUUCUGGAAAUCCCAGUGAUCAAGAAAUACUUCCAAAACAUGAGCUGUACCUUAUCUAUAAUUUUCAUUCUGUUUCCAAAUCACUUCCAAUUUUAAAGUAACUUACGCAGGAAAAUAUUCUACAAGGUACAAUUUGAUGCCAGCAUAGCUAUCUGACCAUAUUGUUUCUGCACCACCAGAACAAGCAGGCAUUUCUGGAGAAAAAGAAAUGCCAACAAUCAUUUCCAGAAGCUAACUGCAGCUCUAGUUAUUAAAUUUAUCUGGAAAGUGAUCGAAUUUUAAAAAAACAGCAUAUUUUCAAUUUAUUUAAAAAAUGGAAGCCCACGCAGGCAACACUUCCUCCCGCCUUAACUUAGAGCUAGGAUUUCAAAUAAGUUUAUUUUUUUAAGCAAAAAAACCUAACACUUUCUAAACACAACAUUUGCCAAUCAUACUUUAAUUUUGCUUGCUCUUUACUGUAACUGAUUUGGCCAAGGAAAGAUGUAAUUCCACCCAGAAGUAAGAAGAGAAAGCACGAGAAUUGUUAACAGCAUUCCUAAGUUUCACUUCUCAAGUAAGCCAUUCAUUAACCAAGACAACUAAAUUGAAUACAAGAAGAACCAACAACAUCACACAUCAACAAAAGAUUGAUGUUAGCCUUGGAUAGCAUUGGUGUUUUAUGCUUUUUUCCCCCCAAAAAAAUAAUUAAUAGCUUUUCUGCAAUAAGGCUUUGUUUGGUUGCUUGCAGUAUGGGAACAGUUAGUGCAUGGAAACUCUUUUACGUGAUAUCGGUUUCUCUCAAGCUACUGGUGUUGAAUUUGCAAGUUAAGUGCAAUUAUUCUCUUCUAUGAAUGCGUUGUUAAACACAACUGUAGGAGAAAACAAGGCUUUCAUUUACAAGGCUUUUAUGUAAAAGAAUGAGUUCAUUAAGGAAACUUUCCCUUUAAAUUGUGAAAGGAGGAGAAAGGAGCUGCCUGAUCAGAAAAAAAAGUAAAUUCUCUAUUCUAUAAA